rnacentral:piRNA from 3 species
UGGUAUUGCAGUACUUCCAGGAACGGUGCA